AAAACACAAAUCUAACAUUUCUCUACCCCAAUUCCCCUUCUCCCGUCUCUCACAUCCGAUUCUCCCCUUCCCCACCGCGCCCCGCUCCUCCCACCGCUGCGAUCUGCCUCGCCGUCCCACCCCGCCCCCUUCUCCUUUCCCCGUUUCAACACCAGACUCUCCCUCCCUCGCUUCAAUUUGCCGUAGUCCAGCCCCAAGUCAGUGCCACCGCCCCUUCCUCUGCACACACUUGCGUGUUAUUUUUCAAAUCUUUAAACCUGAAACCCUACUCAUCGGUCUCUCUCCCACCGCCAGCUCCUUCUCUCAACUGCCGCCCCAAACGACUGUGUCUUCAUGGACGGGCUCAUUCAUCACCCGAAGUCUAGCCAUCGGAGACAGCUGACGGCGACGCUCGGUUGCCCACGCCCUAAUUUCGUCCCCAAAUCCAUCCUCACCCCCGUCGCCGAUGGCCCGUUCCAAGCCCCAGGCUGCCCAACCCCAAUUUCGUUGCACUUCCGUUGAUUCGCCGCCGGUAUUCUCCAUGUUCCGAAAUUCGCCAUCGAGGAAUUCAAAGUGCCUCUCAACCAGGUAUGAUUCUAUUUCUAUUUCCAGUUCCAUCUUUCUGAGCUAUAUUUUUAUUUGUUGAGCCGGCCCAAAGGAUUCUGAAGAAUAUGAUUUGUGAUCUGGAGUUGGUAACUUAUCUGAAUGUUAACUUAACAAUCCGUAGUAAUUUGUGGUGGCCUUUUGUGUUGUA